rnacentral:lncRNA from 1 species
CAAGAAGAGAAGUCGGGUGAGGAUGGUGAGAAAGACACCAAGGAUGACCAGACAGAACAGGAGCCCAGUAUGCUUCUUGAAUCUGAAGAUGAAUUGCUUGUCGAUGAGGAAGAAGCUGCAGCACUACUAGAAAGUGGAAGCUCAGUGGGUGAUGAGACUGAUCUUGCUAAUUUAGGGGAUGUAUCUUCUGAUGGGAAAAAGGAGCCUUCAGAUAAAGCUGUGAAAAAAGAUGCAAGUGCAACAUCCAAGAAAAAACUUAAAAAGGUGGACAAGAUUGAGGAACUUGAUCAAGAAAAUGAAGCUGCAUUGGAAAAUGGGAUUAAAAAUGAGGAAAAUACAGAACCAGGUGCUGAAUCUGCUGAGAAUGCUGAUGAUCCAAACAAAGACGCAAGUGAUAAUUCAGAUGGCCAAAAUGAUGAGAACAAGGAGGACUAUACAAUUCCAGAUGAGUAUAGAAUUGGACCAUAUCAGCCUAAUGUUCCUGUUGGUGAGCUUUAAAGAUUUUUUUCUUCUUCCCCUUUUCUAUUUCUCCCAACAAAUUUAUUAAAAUAAGACUUAAAAAUUGAUCGUAUAUAAGCUCUGAUAGUGUAUAAAGUUAUGCCCCCUGGUAAAUUUAAUAAUUUGUAAAUUUACUCUAACACUGCUCUAUAUUUCUCUUUCUUGUGUCUCCUAAUUUUGUAUUAUGUUACCAUUCCCACUGUGUUUUCUCCUCAUAAUGAUUUCUAAAAUUACACAUUGCUUUUUGUUUUGUGUUUGUU